CCUACGGGUGGCUGCAGUGGGGAAUAUUGGACAAUGGGGGAAACCCUGAUCCAGCGACGCCGCGUGAGUGAAGAAGGAUUUCGGUACGUAAAGCUCUAUCAGCAGGGAAGAAAAUGACGGUACCUGACUACGAAGCACCGGCUAACUACGUGCCAGCAGCCGCGGUCAUACGUAGGGUGCAAGCGUUAUCCGGAUUUACUGGGUGUAAAGGGAGCGGAGACGGCUGAGCAAGUCUGGAGUGAAAUGCCGGGGCCGAACCCCGGAACUGCCCUGGAAACUGGGAAGCUGGAGUGCAGGAGAGGUGAGCAGAAUUCCAGGUGUAGCGGUGAAAUGCGUAGAGAUCUGGAGGAAUACCGGCGGCGAAGGCGGCUCACUGGACUGUAACUGACGUUGAGGUGCGAAGGCGUGGGGAGCAAACAGGAUUAGAUACCCCUGUAGUC
rnacentral:rRNA from 1 species